rnacentral:rRNA from 1 species
AUUGAACGCUGGCGGCAGGCCUAACACAUGCAAGUCGAACGGUAACAGGAAGAAGCUUGCUUCUUUGCUGACGAGUGGCGGACGGGUGAGUAAUGUCUGGGAAACUGCCUGAUGGAGGGGGAUAACUACUGGAAACGGUAGCUAAUACCGCAUAACGUCGCAAGACCAAAGAGGGGGACCUUCGGGCCUCUUGCCAUCGGAUGUGCCCAGAUGGGAUUAGCUAGUAGGUGGGGUAACGGCUCACCUAGGCGACGAUCCCUAGCUGGUCUGAGUGGAUGACCAGCCACACUGGAACUGAGACACGGUCCAGACUCCUACGGGAGGCAGCAGUGGGGAAUAUUGCACAAUGGGCGCAAGCCUGAUGCAGCCAUGCCGCGUGUAUGAAGAAGGCCUUCGGGUUGUAAAGUACUUUCAGCGGGGAGGAAGGGAGUAAAGUUAAUACCUUUGCUCAUUGACGUUACCCGCAGAAGAAGCACCGGCUAACUCCGUG